UGGGGAAUUUUGGACAAUGGCGAAAGCCUGAUCCAGCAAUGCCGCGUGUGUGAAGAAGGCCUUCGGGUUGUAAAGCACUUUUGUCCGGAAAGAAAUCCUUGGCUCUAAUACAGUCGGGGGAUGACGGUACCGGCAAGAAUAAGCACCGGCUAACUACGUGCCAGCAGCCGCGGUAAUAGCGUAGGGUGCAAGCGUUAAUCGGAAUUACUGGGCGUAAAAGCGUGCGCAGGCGGUUUGCAAGACCGAUGUGAAAUCCCCGGGCUCAAUCCUGGGAACUGCAUUGGUGAANUGGCAGGCUAGAGUAUGGCAGAGGGGGGUAGAAUUCCACGGUGUCAGCAGUGAAAUGCGUAGAGAUGUGGAGGAAUACCGAUGGCGAAGGCAGCCCCCUGGG
rnacentral:rRNA from 1 species